UGGGGAAUAUUGGACAAUGGGCGCAAGCCUGAUCCAGCCAUGCCGCGUGAGUGAUGAAGGCCCUAGGGUUGUAAAGCUCUUUCACCGGUGAAGAUAAUGACGGUAACCGGAGAAGAAGCCCCGGCUAACUUCGUGCCAGCAGCCGCGGUAAUACGAAGGGGGCUAGCGUUGUUCGGAUUUACUGGGCGUAAAGCGCACGUAGGCGGACUAUUAAGUCAGGGGUGAAAUCCCGGGGCUCAACCCCGGAACUGCCUUUGAUACUGGUAGUCUUGAGUGCGAGAGAGGUGAGUGGAAUUCCGAGUGUAGAGGUGAAAUUCGUAGAUAUUCGGAGGAACACCAGUGGCGAAGGCGGCUCACUGGCUGGAUACUGACGCUGAGGUGCGAAAGCGUGGGGAGCAAACAGG
rnacentral:rRNA from 1 species